UUAAGCGACUAAGCGUACACGGUGGAUGCCCUGGCAGUCAGAGGCGAUGAAGGACGUGCUAAUCUGCGAUAAGCGUCGGUAAGGUGAUAUGAACCGUUAUAACCGGCGAUUUCCGAAUGGGGAAACCCAGUGUGUUUCGACACACUAUCAUUAACUGAAUCCAUAGGUUAAUGAGGCGAACCGGGGGAACUGAAACAUCUAAGUACCCCGAGGAAAAGAAAUCAACCGAGAUUCCCCCAGUAGCGGCGAGCGAACGGGGAGGAGCCCAGAGCCUGAAUCAGUGUGUGUGUUAGUGGAAGCGUCUGGAAAGGCGCGCGAUACAGGGUGACAGCCCCGUACACAAAAAUGCACAUACUGUGAGCUCGAUGAGUAGGGCGGGACACGUGGUAUCCUGUCUGAAUAUGGGGGGGACCAUCCUCCAAGGCUAAAUACUCCUGACUGACCGAUAGUGAACCAGUACCGUGAGGGAAAGGCGAAAAAGAACCCCCGGCGAGGGGAGUGAAAAAGAACCUGAAACCGUGUACGUACAAGCAGUGGGAGCACGCUUCGGCGUGUGACUGCGUACCUUUUGUAUAAUGGGUCAGCGACUUAUAUUCUGUAGCAAGGUUAACCGAAUAGGGGGAGCCGAAGGGAAACCGAGUCUUAACUGGGCGUUAAGUUGCAGGGUAUAGACCCGAAACCCGGUGAUCUAGCCAUGGGCAGGUUGAAGGUUGGGUAACACUAACUGGAGGACCGAACCGACUAAUGUUGAAAAAAUUAGCGGAUGACUUGUGGCUGGGGGGUGAAAGGCCAAUCAAACCGGGAGAUAGCUGGUUCUCCCCGAAAGCUAUUUAGGUAGCGCCUCGUGAAUUCAUCUCCGGGGGUAGAGCACUGUUUCGGCAAGGGGGUCAUCCCGACUUACCAACCCGAUGCAAACUGCGAAUACCGGAGAAUGUUAUCACGGGAGACACACGGCGGGUGCUAACGUCCGUCGUGAAGAGGGAAACAACCCAGACCGCCAGCUAAGGUCCCAAAGUCAUGGUUAAGUGGGAAACGAUGUGGGAAGGCCCAGACAGCCAGGAUGUUGGCUUAGAAGCAGCCAUCAUUUAAAGAAAGCGUAAUAGCUCACUGGUCGAGUCGGCCUGCGCGGAAGAUGUAACGGGGCUAAACCAUGCACCGAAGCUGCGGCAGCGACACUAUGUGUUGUUGGGUAGGGGAGCGUUCUGUAAGCCUGUGAAGGUGUGCUGUGAGGCAUGCUGGAGGUAUCAGAAGUGCGAAUGCUGACAUAAGUAACGAUAAAGCGGGUGAAAAGCCCGCUCGCCGGAAGACCAAGGGUUCCUGUCCAACGUUAAUCGGGGCAGGGUGAGUCGACCCCUAAGGCGAGGCCGAAAGGCGUAGUCGAUGGGAAACAGGUUAAUAUUCCUGUACUUGGUGUUACUGCGAAGGGGGGACGGAGAAGGCUAUGUUGGCCGGGCGACGGUUGUCCCGGUUUAAGCGUGUAGGCUGAUUUUCCAGGCAAAUCCGGAAAAUCAAGGCUGAGGCGUGAUGACGAGGCACUACGGUGCUGAAGCAACAAAUGCCCUGCUUCCAGGAAAAGCCUCUAAGCAUCAGGUAACAUCAAAUCGUACCCCAAACCGACACAGGUGGUCAGGUAGAGAAUACCAAGGCGCUUGAGAGAACUCGGGUGAAGGAACUAGGCAAAAUGGUGCCGUAACUUCGGGAGAAGGCACGCUGAUAUGUAGGUGAAGCGACUUGCUCGUGGAGCUGAAAUCAGUCGAAGAUACCAGCUGGCUGCAACUGUUUAUUAAAAACACAGCACUGUGCAAACACGAAAGUGGACGUAUACGGUGUGACGCCUGCCCGGUGCCGGAAGGUUAAUUGAUGGGGUUAGCGGUAACGCGAAGCUCUUGAUCGAAGCCCCGGUAAACGGCGGCCGUAACUAUAACGGUCCUAAGGUAGCGAAAUUCCUUGUCGGGUAAGUUCCGACCUGCACGAAUGGCGUAAUGAUGGCGGGCUGUCUCCACCCGAGACUCAGUGAAAUUGAACUCGCUGUGAAGAUGCAGUGUACCCGCGGCAAGACGGAAAGACCCCGUGAACCUUUACUAUAGCUUGACACUGAACAUUGAGCCUUGAUGUGUAGGAUAGGUGGGAGGCUUUGAAGUGUGGACGCCAGUCUGCAUGGAGCCGACCUUGAAAUACCACCCUUUAAUGUUUGAUGUUCUAACGUUGGCCCCUGAUCGGGGUUGCGGACAGUGUCUGGUGGGUAGUUUGACUGGGGCGGUCUCCUCCUAAAGAGUAACGGAGGAGCACGAAGGUUGGCUAAUCCUGGUCGGACAUCAGGAGGUUAGUGCAAUGGCAUAAGCCAGCUUGACUGCGAGCGUGACGGCGCGAGCAGGUGCGAAAGCAGGUCAUAGUGAUCCGGUGGUUCUGAAUGGAAGGGCCAUCGCUCAACGGAUAAAAGGUACUCCGGGGAUAACAGGCUGAUACCGCCCAAGAGUUCAUAUCGACGGCGGUGUUUGGCACCUCGAUGUCGGCUCAUCACAUCCUGGGGCUGAAGUAGGUCCCAAGGGUAUGGCUGUUCGCCAUUUAAAGUGGUACGCGAGCUGGGUUUAGAACGUCGUGAGACAGUUCGGUCCCUAUCUGCCGUGGGCGCUGGAGAACUGAGGGGGGCUGCUCCUAGUACGAGAGGACCGGAGUGGACGCAUCACUGGUGUUCGGGUUGUCAUGCCAAUGGCACUGCCCGGUAGCUAAAUGCGGAAGAGAUAAGUGCUGAAAGCAUCUAAGCACGAAACUUGCCCCGAGAUGAGUUCUCCCUGACUCCUUGAGAGUCCUGAAGGAACGUUGAAGACGACGACGUUGAUAGGCCGGGUGUGUAAGCGCAGCGAUGCGUUGAGCUAACCGGUACUAAUGAACCGUGAGGCUUAACCU
rnacentral:rRNA from 1 species